ensembl:lncRNA
GUGACUGGGGGUCAGGUGGGCUCUGCCUUGGGUCCUGGUGGGUGAUCCCCCUGACAGCCAUUGACUUUCUCCUGCAGACCUGGCUGGUUGCUGUUCCUUGGGCCAAGCUCAGUCCCAAGAGGGGCUGCCCAGUUGCCUACUCCUCCUGACCCUUCAACGGCCUGGAAGGGAGGGUAUCACCUGAGAGGGGAGAUCAGUGAGCCUGCUGUGGAUCUGUUACCUGGAAUGUGGCUCCUCCCCAGGUGGGACUGGGGCCAGAGCUCAGGGGCCAGGACUCUGUCAAAACACUGGUGUCAAAAUGCCCUGCCUCCCUCUUCCCACAUCUGUAUCUAUAUCUAUCUAUCUAUAUAUAUAUGUGGAGACUCAGCUCCGGGGUAGAUCUCAACAAGAGAAGACAAGGAGCCUGGUGUUGAGGUCCCCUCUGUACCCAUAGGUGAGAGAUGUUGUUAUUGUCAUUGUUGCAUUGCUAAGUUGCAUCUGACUCCUUGUGACCCCAUGGUCUGCAGCAUGCCAGGCAUCCCUGUCCUUCACUAUCUCCCAGAGUUUGCUCGAACUCAUGUCCAUUGAGUCGAGGAUGCCAUCCAACCAUCUCAUCCUCUGUCACCCUCUUCUACCCUCAAUCUUUCCCAGCAUCAGGGUCUUUUCCAAUGAGGUGGCUCUUCAAAUCAGGGGGCCAAAGUAUUUGGACAUUCAGUUUUAACAUCAGUCCUUCCAAUGAAUAUUCAGGGUUGAUUUCCUUUAGGAUCAACUAGUUUGAUCUCCUUGCCAUCCAAGGACACUCUUAAGAGUCUUCUCCAGCCCCACAGUUCGAAGACAUCAAUUCUUUGGCACUCAGCCUUCUUUAUAGUCCCAACUCUCACAUCCGUACAUGACUACUGGAAAAACCAUAACUUUGACUAUACAGAUCUUUGUUGGCAAAAUAAUGUCUCUA